CCUACGGGAGGCAGCAGUAGGGAAUCUUCCGCAAUGGACGAAAGUCUGACGGAGCAACGCCGCGUGAGUGAUGAAGGCUUUCGGGUCGUAAAACUCUGUUGUUAGGGAAGAACAAGUGCUAGUUGAAUAAGCUGACACCUUGACGGUACCUAACCAGAAAGCCACGGCUAACUACGUGCCAGCAGCCGCGGUAAUACGUAGGUGGCAAGCGUUAUCCGGAAUUAUUGGGCGUAAAGCGCGCGCAGGUGGUUUCUUAAGUCUGAUGUGAAAGCCCACGGCUCAACCGUGGAGGGUCAUUGGAAACUGGGAGACUUGAGUGCAGAAGAGGAAAGUGGAAUUCCAUGUGUAGCGGUGAAAUGCGUAGAGAUAUGGAGGAACACCAGUGGCGAAGGCGACUUUCUGGUCUGUAACUGACACUGAGGCGCGAAAGCGUGGGGAGCAAACAGGAUUAGAUACCCUGGUAGU
rnacentral:rRNA from 1 species